rnacentral:tRNA from 1 species
AUUAAGAUAUCCUUAUUUAAAGGUGGUAAAUUGUAAAUUUGCUUAAGAAUAAUUUUUCUCUUAAUA